rnacentral:SRP_RNA from 1 species
GCCUAGUAUGGCGGUGCAUGCCUGUAGUCCCAGCUACUUGGGAGGCUGAGGCAGGAGGAUCACUUGGGCCCGGGAGGUCGAGGCUGCAGUGAGCUGUGACAACACCACUGCACUCCAGCCUGGGCAACAGAGUGAGACCCUGUCUCAA